GUCUACGGCCAUCUGCAUACCACCCUGAACGCGUCCAAUCUUGUCUGAUCUCAGAAGCUAAGCAGGGUCAGGCCUGGUUAGUACUUGGAUGGGAGACCACCUGGGAAUACCGGGUGCUGUAGGCU
ensembl:rRNA 5S_rRNA 5S ribosomal RNA